rnacentral:lncRNA from 1 species
CGCCUUUGCCGCCCCUGCAGCUGCAGGCGAACCACGGACUCCACGAGAGGGUCGAUUUGAGUCCCCAUCGGGCAGUGCAGUCCUGCCGGCUGCCGCGCGCGGGGCGGGACGCGGGAGGCGGACGGGUCAACACCCCACCCGUAGAGCACUCGAGGCCGAGCGGACGGAAGCGGGGGGUCACCCGGCCCGGCUCGGCAAAGCCGCAGCCGGGGGCC